UAAUCAGCUCCGUGUUGACUCUAGGUAUGCUAAACUAUAAUACAUAAAAUGUGGACGUUAAAUAACAAAAUAUGAAAAUAUGCUUGAAAUUCUGAAAAUGGGUGAUGUAAAAAAAAUGGACAGAAGUGAAAAGAAAUAAAGUAGCAUAAUAUUGAUAGACACAGUAAAAGAAAAAAUAACUUUGUUAAACCGCAUAAGAACAAGAAGGUGGACUAUAUAUGCUGAAUAGUGUUAUAAUAGGUCAAAUAAUGUAAGAUGCAGGAGUUGUAAAAAAACGUGGAGAAAUCAUUUUACUGUUAAAUGUCGAUCAAUACCUAUGAGAAUUGAAAACUAAACAUAAAAAUAGUGAUUAAUAAAAAAGUAGGUUACCACAUACAAUAAUUAUUUUUCUA